rnacentral:rRNA from 4 species
AAAAAGCUCGUAGUCGAAUUUGUGUCUCGCGCCGUCCGGUUCAUCGUUCGCGGUGUCAACUGGCGUGCCGCGAGACGUCCUGCCGGCGGAUCGUUCGCAAGAACGGUCCAACUGACCCCGCCGCGGUGCUCUUCAUUGAGUGUCGAGGUGGGCCGGCACGUUUACUUUGAACAAACUAAGGUGCUUAAAGCAGGCUGAAAUUUUGCCAGAAUAUUUUAUGCAUGGAAUAAUGAAACAGGACCUCGAUUCUAUUUUGUUGGUUUUCGGAACCUCGAGGUAAUGAUUAACAGGAACGGAUGGGGGCAUUCGUAUUGCGACGUUAGAGGUGAAAUUCUUGGAUCGUCGCAAGACGGACAGAAGCGAAAGCAUUUGCCAAAAACGUUUUCAUUGAUCAAGAACGAAAGUUAGAGGUUCGAAGGCGAUCAGAUACCGCCCUAGUUCUAACCAUAAACUAUGCCAGCUAGCGAUCCGCCGACGUUCCUCCGAUGACUCGGCGGGCAGCUUCCGGGAAACCAAAGCUUUUGGGUUCCGGGGGAAGUAUGGUUGCAAAGCUGAAACUUAAAGGAAUUGACGGAAGGGCACCACCAGGAGUGGAGCCUGCGGCUUAAUUUGACUCAACACGGGAAACCUCACCAGGCCCGGACACCGGAAGGAUUGACAGAUUGAGAGCUCUUUCUUGAUUCGGUGGGUGGUGGUGCAUGGCCGUUCUUAGUUGGUGGAGCGAUUUGUCUGGUUAAU